rnacentral:rRNA from 1 species
CACCGCGGUUAUACGAGAGGCCCAAAUUGAUAGAUUUCGGCGUAAAGGGUGGUUAGGGUUAACUAUAAGUAAAGCUAAAUAUAUUCAAAACUGUCAUACGCACCCGAAGAUAAGAGACUCAACUACGAAAGUGGCUUUAUAGCACCCGACCCCACGAAAGCUAGGAAA